rnacentral:rRNA from 1 species
AUUGAACGCUGGCGGCAGGCCUAACACAUGCAAGUCGAACGAGUGGCGGACGGGUGAGUAAUGUCUGGGAAACUGCCUGAUGGAGGGGGAUAACUACUGGAAACGGUAGCUAAUACCGCAUACCAUCGGAUGUGCCCAUAGGGGAUUAGCUAGUAGGUGGGGUAAAGGCUCACCUAGGCGACGAUCCCUAGCUGGUCUGAGAGGAUGACCAGCCACAAGUGGACUGAGACACGGACCAGACUCCUACGGGAGGCAGCAGUGGGGAAUAUUGCACAAUGGGCGAAAGCCUGAUGCAGCCAGGCCGCGUGUAUGAAGAAGGCCUUCGGGUUGUAAAGUACUUUCAGCGGGGAGGCGUUACCCGCAGAAGAAGCACCGGCUAACUCCGUGCCAGCAGCCGCGGUAAUUC